GAUGAACGCUGGCGGCGUGCUUAACACAUGCAAGUCGAACGAAGCACUUUAUUUGAUUUCCUUCGGGACUGAUUAUUUUGUGACUGAGUGGCGGACGGGUGAGUAACGCGUGGGUAACCUGCCUUGUACAGGGGGAUAACAGUUGGAAACGGCUGCUAAUACCGCAUAAGCGCACGGCAUCGCAUGAUGCAGUGUGAAAAACUCCGGUGGUAUAAGAUGGACCCGCGUUGGAUUAGCUAGUUGGUGAGGUAACGGCCCACCAAGGCGACGAUCCAUAGCCGACCUGAGAGGGUGGCCGGCCACAUUGGGACUGAGACACGGCCCAAACUCCUACGGGAGGCAGCAGUGGGGAAUAUUGCACAAUGGGCGAAAGCCUGAUGCAGCGACGCCGCGUGAGCGAAGAAGUAUUUCGGUAUGUAAAGCUCUAUCAGCAGGGAAGAUAAUGACGGUACCUGACUAAGAAGCACCGGCUAAAUACGUG
rnacentral:rRNA from 1 species